AUGAAAAAAAUCUAAUAAUCUGGUCAAAAGAUGGGCAAAAUAUUUGAAUAGACAUUUCCCAAAAGAAGACAUGCAAAUGACAAACAGGCAUAUGAAAGGUGCUCAACAUCAUUGAUUAUCAGAGAAAUGCACAUCAAAACUAUAAUGAGAUAUCAUCUCGCCCCAGUUAAAAUGGCUUAUAUCCAAAAGACAGGCAAUAACAAAUGCCAGCAAGGAUGUGGAGAAAAGGGAACCUUGUACACUGUUAGCGGGAAUGUAAGUUAGUACAACCACUAUGGUGAACAGUUUAGAGGUUCCUCAAAAAACUAAAAAUUAAGCUACCAUACCAUCUAGCAAUUCUCCUGCUGCAUAUAUAUCUCAAAGAAAAGCAAUCUGUAUAUUGAAGAGGUAUCUGCACUCCUAUGUUUGUUGCAGCAUUGUUUACAAUAGCUAAGAUUUGGGAGCAACCUAAGUGUCCAUCAACAGAUGAAAGGAUAAAGUAAAUGUGGUACUUAUACACAAUGGAGUACUAUUUAGACAUAAAAAAGAAUGAGAUUCAGUCAUUUACCACAACAUGGGUGGAACUGAAGGUCAUUAUGUUAAGUGAAAUAAGACAGGCACAGAAAGACAAACAUCACAUAUUUUAACUUAUUGGUGGGAUCUAAGAAUCAAAAAUAUUUGAAUUCGUGUACAUAGAGAAUAUAAGGAUGUUUACCAGAGGCUGUGAAGGGUAGUGGGGAAUUAGUGGAGAGGUGGGGGUGGUUAAUGGAUACAAAAAGAAAUAGGAUAAAUAAGACCUACUAUUUGCUAGCACAACAGGAUAACUGUAGUCAAUAAUAACUGAACAUUUUAAAAUAACUUAAAGAGUGUAAUUGGAUUGUUUGUAACUUAAUGGAUAAAUGCUUGAUGGGAUGGAUAUUCCAUUCUUCAUGGUGUGCUUAUUUCACAUUGCAUGCUUAUAUCAAAACAUCUCAUAUACCUUAUAAAUAUAUAUAACUAUACCCACAUAAAUUAAAAAUAAAAAAAUUAAAAAGGGAAAACCAUAGGUUUGACUACAUAAAAAUGUAAUAAUUUUUGAAUGGAAAAAACAUCCUUGGAGAAAAUAACCUAGAAAAACUAUUAGCAGCAACUAUUUCAGAGACAUUGCAUCUUCAUGGUCAAAGAAUUCAUAUAAGUUGACACCUAGAAUGCUAAAAUCCUAAUAGAAAAGUGGACCAAGUACAGAUUAGAAAAGUUACAAGAUAAUUUUUAACAUAUUAAAAAGUUCAAUUUAACUAGGAAUUAGAUAUGUACCCAUAAACACACCAAUGAUUUAAAUGAAGUUGUUGAGAUUUUGUUGAAUAUCCUUCCAGUCUGUGUUAUCUAUCCUAUCUGUACCUAUUGCUUGAUCUGUCCAUCUAUGUACUUACUUUGUAUGUCACUCUUCAUCCAUUUAGCUAUCCAUCCAUUUACACAUUUUUUUUGAAAAGAGAUCAUAAUGUAUACUUUUUUUUGUUUUUUCCGUUUAACGUAUUUUGAACUUCUCAUAUCAUUGUACGUUCAUUACGUUCAAAUCUUUGCAUCUUGUUACACUGCAUGGAUGUACCGUAGCUUAUUCAAAUGAGCUGUCUUACUGGGCACUUAUGUUGCUUACACUUUUUUAACAGUUACAUAUUGAACAUCAUCACACUGAUCAGAUUAUUUCUAAAGGUAAAUUUGGAAAGGUUGGUUUUGCUGUUUAAAAAGUGUGCAAAUGUUUCAGACUUUUGCUGCAUAUUGCUAAAUUAUUCACCUUUCUACCAGUAAUACAUCAGAGUAAGCACUCGCAAAUUCUUGUAAACACUGGCUAGUAUAGUUAGAAUUUUAUGUCAGUAAAAAUGAUUGGCAAUAUCUUACUUUUUUACUUCGCUUUUUUUGAUUAUUAAAGUGACAAACAUUAUUUUGUGGUUUUUGGUCAUUUUUUGGUGAAAUUCCUAAUCAUAUCACUUCUCCCAAUUUUUCCUUUGAUAUAUUAAUCUUUUCAUUAUUUAUAAAGGUUACAUUUAUAUUUAGGUAAAUAUGCCUUUGAAUUAUGUAGAUUUUUUUAUAGAGAGAAAUUUUUUAAAAUCUUUAAUUAACAAACUUACCAGCUUUGUGCUUCAUGGUUUCUACUUUCAGUGUUAUAAUUAUAAACCCCUACUGGAAACCAAGAUUAUAUUAACUAGAAGGAGAAUAUUUUGAUUCAUCUAUUCCAUUUUCCUCCAGGUUUAUAGUUGGAUCUUUCAUUAUAGAAUGUAUGAUCAAUGGGAUUUUUUAACAUAGAGCCUUAGAGGAAAACUCAGGACCACCUGGUUUUUAAUUAAAAUGAAUUCUUUUAGAAGAUUAUAUUGUGAAUAUAGCUUCCUAGUGACUUCCUUCUUAGUAUUCAAGUUGGGCUCACUGGAAGGACUGAAUUGUAUUAAGAUCUUAGGUUAGCAUAAUUAUUUUUAAUGUUAAUGUUUUUAUAUAUAGUGACCGAGUUAUUCUGGAUUUGACUAAGUAACAAUAUACUACUUUAGUAACUCACUUGAGUUUUGUUUUGUGAGGAAAUUUUAUUACUCAACAUUCAUAUCUUAGAAGGUCAAAUUAUUCUAGAAGAUACUGCUUUGAUUUUAGAGGAACAGGUUUAUUGAUCUGGUGAGAAAAUCACUGGUGAGUGAAUCCCAAGCAUUCACUAAAUUAGUAAAUUUAAAACAUGAUAACUGCUAUGGAUUGAAAGGUGAUCCUUGUUUUGAAGGAAUUGAAAAGGAAAAGUAAUCAAUACGUUUGUGAGAAGGUAUAUCAGGAUGCCUGGCUUGGCUUUUUCUAAACCACAUAACACUUCCCACUCUAUUCUACUGGCAUUGAGUGUAUUAUUAGUCGCAUGUGUGUUUGCAUUGGAAAGACAGUGAGUAUCAAUGCUCUAUCACCAAGGACAGUGUGUUUUAAUCACUUGGAUCUUCUUAAUAAAAAAUACAGAUUUUGAAUUUGUGGGUUUUGACUGGACCUGAGAUUCUGCAUUCCUAUUAAGUCUCCAGAUAAAAAGCACUGUGCUGGUUCAUAGACUCCUCCUUGAGUAGAAAGUGUGGAAAACUCUUGUAUUGACACUUUUACUUCUCCAUAAAUAAAGUAAUAGGUAAAACACAUGAAAUAGUAAAAUUGCAAUACAGUAAAAACAUUAAACAUCUUGUAAGUAUCAAGUAAAGCAAAUGCUUUUCUCAUGUUAAUGUUUCUUUGGUUACAGAAAGACCCAAGCUGAGAACCUAGAAGGGUAGAAGGAAAAUAUAUUUUUCCUCUUUUAUUAUGAAAGAAAACUGUCCACUCAGAAUGAAGUAAUAUGAAGAAAACUGAUGAUAAAUAUGUGCUGACAGAAUUAACUACCAACACUCUUACCAAAGAGAAUUUUAAAAUGAGUCCUUCAGGAAGAAAAGCAAUCCCAUUUUGAAAGUCUAAGAUUAAAAAAAAAAGGGUCUCCCUCUGCCACCUGGGAUGCAGUGCAGUGGCCUGACCACAGGUAAUUGCAGCCUCCUCAUCGCAGGCUCAAGCGAUCCUCCCACCUCAGCUUCCCAAAUAGCUGGGACUACAGACACACACCAUCACACUGGGCUAAUUUCUGUACUUUUUGUACAGAUGUGGUUUUGCCAUGUUGCCCAGCCUGGCCUCAAACUCCUGGACACAAGUGAUCCUCCCAUGUUGGCCUCCCAAAGUGCUGGAUUUACAAACAUGAGCCACUGUGCCUGACCUUUGCUUAUUAAAAUGUCUAAAGAACUACUAAAAGAUAAAAUGUGUAUCUAGCCCUCAGGUUAUUAGAAGGAAAAUUGUAGUGAGGAAAAAAAUCAGUAUAAAAGUCAUUAAAGUAGGUAAUAAGAGAGUGGAAAAAAAUGUGGUAAAUAGAAAGCACAACUAAUUAAAUGAAUGAAAGUUUUCAGUUAAAAAGCAAAACAGCUUAAACUUUUUGUUUAGAAGCUAGGAACAUUUUUUUAAAAAACAAAAAUCUUAGCCUAAAAGAAACGAACGCGGCCGGGAGCGAUGGCUCACGCUUGUAAUCCCACCACUUUGGGAGGCCAAGUCAGGCAGAUCACGAGGUCAGGAGAUCGAGACCAUCCUGGCUAACACGGUGAAACCCCAUCUCUACUAAAAAUACAAAAACUUAGCCAGGCGUGGUGGCGGGCGCCUGUAGUCCCAGCUACUCAGGAGGCUGAGGCAGGAGAAUGGUGUGAACCCGGGAGGUGGAGCUUGCAGUAAGCCAAGAUUGUGCCACUGCACUUCAGCCUGGGUGACAGAGCAAGACUCCAUCUCAAAAAAAAAAAAAAAAAA